GGCAUUAAUACAAAUUUCCUGUUUUGUUAAAUCUUUUAGCUAAGGAAGCUGAAAAAGUGUAACUUUAAUGGAUUUAAAAGUUCUCAACUAUUUUUAGGUCUAAUUGCUUGAGACAAUUUUAUGGCCAAGACUAACCUUGACACUUGUUUACCUAUUCAUUACAAUCCAAGCACAUGCCAAAAUUGCAUUCCAUGUAGUGGUAGGAAAUGAUUUGCUGGCAAAUUUGAAUAUUGUUCAAUUGCAUGGAAGUUGCUUGGCAUUUUCACAUGAAGUUUCUUGGUGCUGGGGCCUUC
rnacentral:lncRNA from 1 species